rnacentral:sRNA from 1 species
AGAAAAAAAAUAGCUCGAAACCAGUCCUGUUUCGAGCCUAGGGGAAUGGCUCAUUGCUGAGCCUUGCGCUAAUUUAUCCAUGUUACAAUGAAUACCAAUACUAAGGAUAAAGUUAGCGCAAAGCGCCAUAAUUGCCAGUCG